rnacentral:tRNA from 1 species
GACAUCAUGGCCCAGUGGUAGAGCAUCUGUCUGGCAAGCAUAAUUCCCUGAGUUCAAACCCCAGUACCAUCA